GCCAGAGUGCUGAAAUGGUAGACAGGCACGGCUUAGGACCGUGUGUCGCAAGACAUGGGAGUUCGAGUCUCCCCUCUGGCA
rnacentral:tRNA from 1 species